GAAAUGCGAUAAGUAGUGUGAAUUGCAGAAUUCAGUGAGUCAUCGAAUCUUUGAACGCACAUUGCGCCCCUCGGUAUUCCGUGGGGCAUGCCUGUUCGAGCGUCAUCUACACCCUCAAGCUCUGCUUGGUGUUGGGCGUCUGUCCCGCCUCCGCGCGCGGACUCGCCCCAAAUGCAUUGGCAGCGGUUCCUUGCCCCCCUCUUUGCGCAGCACAUUGCCAUUCGAGGCGGCGGCGGCCCGCGUCCAACAAGCUCAACCCCCCCGUCUUUGACCUCGGAUCAGGUAGGGAUACCCGCUGAACUUAAGC
rnacentral:misc_RNA from 1 species